UUUUUAUUUUUUCUGGUCUGUUUGGAGCCUAUUUGCUGAGAAUUUAAAGAAGACAAGAACGACAACUUCAGAUUUUGAGAUGAGAAGCAGACAAAAACAAGGAAGUUAUCCUAGGAUGUAUCCUGUUGCAAGAAAAAGCCUGAUAACUGUGAUUUGGAAGUUUGUUGUAACUCCUGCAGAAGCUGGUCACCAUGUGUAUCUUCCCUGUAGUAGGUGUUUGAUCUGGAACUGAGAGAGAUUUUUUUAUUUUUAUUUUUUAAAUUUAAGAUAUAUACACAAAUACACAUAUAAUGAAGCCAUGUAUCUUUAAGUUUCUGCUCUUUUUCUUUAACGUUUGUUCCCGCUGUCCCCCCCCCCCCCCCCCCCCCCCCCAUGGGUUGUAGAAAAAACAAGAUUGAUUGGACUUUCACCAUCCA
rnacentral:lncRNA from 1 species